rnacentral:lncRNA from 1 species
AUAACUCCUUGUUUAAGGUGAGGAUUAUCAGACUCUAACCGGUAACUUCAUUAACCUAACAAAGUUACCAUGCCAGGGUGAACCUGUGUCUGUGACUUGUAAAUAGGAAUUGGAAUUGUAUUUACAUAUCAAAGACCACUAGGGAUGAGAUAAUGGCUAAAAAGGAUAUAAAAAGGGAAAUGCUGAACAAAGGGGGCAGUUACUGACCAGACUGGUUUCUAGCAUUCCUGCCCGCUCUCCAGAAGAAAUAUUAUUUUAUCCAAAUUCUGUGUCUCUGUGUAUUUCUUUCCAAGAUUUCUGCAACAGAACAAAAACUGUAAUGGUUGUGAACCUUUUUCACCAAGCUGAUCCAGAAAGCCAAGCCCAUCAGAAACAAAAGGUUAUAGAAAACAGAAUUAGCAGCAUUUAG